rnacentral:rRNA from 1 species
GACGAACGCUGGCGGCGUGCUUAACACAUGCAAGUCGAACGAGGAAGCGGUGCUUGCACCGUGGAUUAGUGGCGAACGGGUGAGUAAUACGUGAGUGACCUACCUUUGACUCUGGGAUAAGCCUGGGAAACUGGGUCUAAUACCGGAUACGACCAAUCUCUGCAUGGGGUGUUGGUGGAAAGCGUUAUGGAGUGGUUUUAGAUGGGCUCACGGCGUAUCAGCUUGUUGGUGUGGUAAUGGCUUACCAAGGCGACGACGGGUAGCCGGCCUGAGAGGGUGACCGGCCACACUGGGACUGAGACACGGCCCAGACCCCUACGGGAGGCAGCAGUGGGGAAUAUUGCACUAUGGGCUGGAGCCUGAUGCAGCGACGCCGCGUGAGGGAUGACGGCCUUCGGGUUGUAAACCUCUGUUAGCAUCGAAGAAGCGAAAGUGACGGUAGGUGCAGAGAAAGCGCCGGCUAACUACGUG